ACACACUCACACACACACACACACACGCACACACGCACACACACACACACACACACACGCACCAACACACGCACACACACGCACCAACACACGCACACACAAACACACACACGCACACACACACAGCCAUGAGAUUGGGUCAUUAGAUAAAAGAGCGAACGUGAGAUUAGGAUUAAAGGACCGGGAAGAUUUUUCUACAUGAUCUCAGCCAGUGGCGGCUGGCCAGUAGAGGGCGAUAGGGCGCCGCCCUCCCAGUUUUUCCGUGUUUUAAAUUUUUAUUUAAAAAAAAUAAAUAAAUAAAAUUAACAAUAAUCACACAUUCUAAGUUAAUUGUGUGUUUUGUAACAAAAAUAAAUCAUAUAUAUAUAUAUCUAUAUUGGUCUCUGCCGAGCGGCGGAGGCUGUGUGCUGUUUUUCAAUCGCCCAAACAGGACGAGACCGGUUGUCCAAUUGCUGACAAGAAAAUCAAAGGGUAGGAAUGGGAAUGUAUCCAAUCAGCGUCGACGUUGUUUCAGAAGCAUGAUGGGCGAUAGAGCUACCGCCAAGGCUUUCGUUGGUGUUCGGUAGAACUCGGAGAGUCUCGACUCCAGCACGUUUUUGGUCGUGACUCGUGACGCACAUGGAGCAGACGCAGACAUGGACGCCAGUGAGCCUACAACAUGGACACCAGAUCUCAGCAGCCACUGAAUUCAGUUCGGUCUCUUCUCCAGUAUCCGUUCGAGAGGAGAACUAUGGUGGAAAAACUUAAUGUCAAAGAGCUUGGACCAGAUCAGCCCGACGUAAAGAUAAGCCAGCAGGACAAGGAGAGAGAAGGUGGAUGUGGAACUUGUGUCUCAUUGGAGACUCCAUUCCUUCUCUGACUGAGGAAUGCAGCGCAUCAGUGCAGCAGCCAACAAAGAAACGGAGGACGUUUGGACAGGGAGAACAGCAGCUGGGUGCAGAGACGAAGACGAAGAUGAGGAAGAGGAGGAAAGCUCCAGGAGACUGGAGGUGUGAAAGGUUCUGACCCUGAUUUGAGUCCGCAGCAACACAGAAUAAUCUGAUGUUACGGAAACAGACUGACCACUGGAUUAAAUGUGGACUGCUUGAAUAAACCUUAAAUUCAGGACCGACUGAAUGAAUUCCACCUUAAAUCUAAAGCACUGCUUUGACUGUUUGAGUUGAUAUCCUGAAUUAUUUUCAUCAUCUGUGGUGAAAAUAAUAAUCUGCUGGAUUCUGACGCUGAGCAGCAGAUUACAGACACAAGGAGUCAUGAUGAGACUCAUCUGCUGCCAUAGAAACACAAGUGACCUGGAUGUGUAUGGAACAACACCACGGUGCACCGUGCACACUUGUGCACGCUCCCAGACUGCUGUGCACUGUUUGCCUUCGUAUUGAAUGUGGCUGAGAGGAAGUGGGAUGUUUGCCGAACCUCAUCUUCCUGAACUGGACCUCAUGGAAGUUCUGGAACGGAAUGAUGAUUAAAGCAACUCGAUGGGGCUGGCUGGAACAUUCAUGGGGGAUUACCACCACUGUGUGUAUGUGUGUGUGUGUGUGUGUGUGUGUGUGUGUGUGUGUUUGAGUGUGUGUGUGUGUGUGAGUGUGUGUGCGUGUGUGUGUGUGUGUGUGUGUGUGUUCGAGUGUGUGUGUGUGUGUGUGUGUUCGAGUGUGUGUGUGUGUGUGUGUGUGUGUGUGUGUGUGUGUGUGUUCGAGUGUGUGUGUGCGUGUGUGUGUGCGUGUGUGUGUGUGUGUGUGUGUGUGUGUUCGAGUGUGUGUGUGUGUGUGUGUGUUCGAGUGUGUGUGUGUGUGUGUGUGUGUGUGUGUGCGUGCGUGUGUGUGUGUUCGAGUGUGUGUGUGUGUGUGUGUGUGUGUGUGUGUGUGUGUUCGAGUGUGUGUGUGUGUGUGUGUGUGUGUGUGUGUGUGUUCGAGUGUGUGUGUGUGUGUGUGUGUGUGUGUGUGUGUGUGUGUGUGUGUGUGUGUGCGUGUGUGUGUGUGUGUGUGUGUGUGUUUGAGUGUGUGUGUGUGUGUGUGUGUGUGUGUGUGUUCGAGUGUGUGUGUGUGUGUGUGUGUGGAUGGAUGGGUGCUCAUCCUUCCAUCCACUUAUCCAUCCACCCAUCCAUCCA